rnacentral:misc_RNA from 1 species
GAUGAAGAACGCAGCGAAAUGCGAUAAGUAAUGUGAUUUGCAGAAUUCAGUGAAUCAUCGAAUCUUUGAACGCACAUUGCGCCCAUUAGUAUUCUAGUGGGCAUGCCUGUUCGAGCGUCAUUAAUUCCACUUAAGCCCUGCUUAGUGUUGGGAAUCUACUCUAGUGGUGCUACCCUGGAGCUACCCCUGAAAGGGGGCUGGCCCGGUAGCUACCCUGUAGUUCCUCAAAGAUAGUGCGCGGAGUUGCGUGGUCCUCUGAGCUUAGUAACUAUACACCUAGCUUUUGAGUGUCCCGCGGCGCCUGCCGUUUAAACCCCAUCUUUUAAUGGUUGACCUCGGAUCAGGUAGGAAUACCCGCUGAACUUAAGCAUAUCAAUAAGCGGAGGA